GAUGAACGCUGGCGGCGUGCCUAAUACAUGCAAGUCGAGCGAACGGACGAGAAGCUUGCUUCUCUGAUGUUAGCGGCGGACGGGUGAGUAACACGUGGAUAACCUACCUAUAAGACUGGGAUAACUUCGGGAAACCGUAGCUAAUACCGGAUAAUAUUUUGAACCUCAUGGUUCAAAAUUUAAAGACGGUCUUGCUGUCACUUAUAGAUGGAUCCGCGCUGCAUUAGCUAGCUGGUAAGGUAACGGCUUACCAAGGCAACGAUGCAUAGCCGACCUGAGAGGGUGAUCGGCCACACUGGAACUGAGACACGGUCCAGACUCCUACGGGAGGCAGCAGUAGGGAAUCUUCAGCAAUGGGCGAAAGCCUGACGGAGCAACGCCGAGUGAGUGAUGAAGGUCUUCGGAUCGUAAAACUCUGUUAUUAGGGAAGAACAUAUGUGUAAGUAACUGUGCACAUCUUGACGGUACCUAAUCAGAAAGCCACGGCUAACUACGUG
rnacentral:rRNA from 1 species